rnacentral:tRNA from 1 species
GGAGGGGUGUCCGAGUGGUUAAAGGAGGCAGAUUGUAAAUCUGCUGGUUAACGCCUACGUUGGUUCGAAUCCAACCCUCUCCA